GAGCUCGCACCACUGUUGGGGGUAACACACGUAUCGCGAAGCCUGGAGAUCAAAGACCAGCUCUUUCUCGCCAACAUCAAAAGCUUCUCUCAGUAGUCAAGAAAUGGCAGGGUCGUGCUUUGGAUUUUCCUCUACUAUGUCGAACAUCAUGGAAACAACAGACAACGAAAUAUUUUUCAUCGUAAAAAGCACGCCCGGUAACCGUCAAAGGGAGCCAACGGAGUCAGAUCCGGUGGUCUCCACAUUGCACAAUCGUAAAGUAUACGAAGGAGAUACCACAAUACUGGCCGCAGAGUUUAGCGCCAAGUCAAGAGUUACUAUCGAGUGGAAGAAGGACGACUUUACAAUAUACAAGAUAUCUCCAGAUAAUCAUACCGGGCAAAGCAUUCUUAUCAUCAACAACGUUCAACACUGUCAUCAUAAGAAGAAAUACAGUGUUUCUGUGACUGACUGGCGGGGUCGCCAGGUCUCGUCUUCUUCCAAAAUCAAAGUCCGUCGUGACUUUGGCAGCAAGAGCAGCAGCAGCAGUGAUUCUGACGAGUAACGCUAAACACAUCCCAGUACUACAACAGGUGAAACAUCCUGGAGUGAGUGCAUGCAUGAGCAGUAUGUUCCCCAGUGCUGGGUAUCCUACCCGACUUUAUGGACAGCUUGCACUUCCUCUCUCAAGAAAUUUUCGCAUUCAAAAUCAUAAUCUAAACCUAGGGAUUAAAUUCAACAUGCUUCAUCCAAAGAUUCAAGUACUGAUUCUUGCUUUUAUGGGUGAACGGAAAUUGGAAGAGGGUACGCUUAAUCUAUUUUUUGUGAGAAGUUACUGUUUGGUACAACUUACUAAGUACGAACCUGUCGUUAUUUAAGGAGCUGGAAUACAGUUUGGAACUUACAACUGAAUUGUUAACAAUUCAAACGAAAACAUAUUUAAUAUGGGAUUUCAAACAAGCUGAAAAACUACAAAAGAAUUUUUUUAAACAUGAAUUUUAUCCUCAUCUUGAUAAAAAAAGCAAGGAAAGUAAUAACUGAAAAUCAACAACCUUCCCAACUAAACAACUUUUGCUUGAAAACUGACUUAUAAAAUAGCUGAAAAUGGGGGUACUGACAGCUGCUUUAACUAGAAUAGAUAGCUAAGGGCACGCAAAUCAUGUUAAGAAAAAAGGUUAAAGGCUGGGUUCAAAGUAAAUUUACAUGUAUGUAUACGAGCUGAAUUGCAUACAUCUAUUUAAGGUUAUUUCUGCUUUAAUAGGAAAAGAAGUUAAUAAUCGUUUGGAUGCUCCGAUUAUAGAAGUGCAUUUACGUACACGUACAAACAAAAUACUAAUUUUGUAUUAAAUUGGAAAUGGGAACAUAGUUGCAAUGGGAACAUAUUCCCAUUUACUACAUGUACUUGUUUAAAUCUCAAUCUCAAAUCUUAUACGUGAAAGUUCAGAAUAUUCCCUGUAGUGUGAUGUGUUUUCGUUCAACUGAUCUGUUCUGUUGCUCUUAAAGUUAAACAGGCCUGACUCAUAACCACGACUUUGUAUGAACAUUGUUCCCAUGUUUGGAAAAGCACGUUGGAAACACAAUGGGUGUAUUUCAAACACCAAACAUCGCAUGGACUCUGGUUUUUAUUUCGUACGCACCAUACCCAGAGAUAGAAUUAUCUGGAGCCUUAUAGAGUACCAUUUUUGCUAAAAAGCUUACACUACAGGUAAAGGACAAUUCGAGGGAUAUGAGGUAGGCCCACGGGAAUACAUGUAUGCGGUACCUUUCCAUGACACCGGAACAAAACGCGCUGGCCGGUUUUCCAAUUCCAUGUAUAUAGGCUACUGUAUGAACUCAUGUAAAGUUUGUUCCGUUUUUCUUUUCAACGUUUGCGCAAGACAAAACUUAGACCAAUUCGUAGCACAAUGGGGUGACCACUAUUAUGUUAAAGGUGCAUGUUGAAGUGAGCCAAGCAGUUAUUAAUAGUCAAUGUUUUUAUACAUAUAUACAUAAUAUACAAUGUUUUUAUACAUAGCUCUAUGGGCCAAACGCAAUUCUUCUGUAGAAAACGUAUUGCCGAAUCACAGCAAACAUCUUGCGGCGUAUCAUUAUGCCAUGGAUAUGCAACAACUGGAAAUUUUCACUGUAUUCACGGCAAUACGCAACCGCGCAUUGCAAAGCGAAGAUCAUGUGGCGCUGAGAUAUUCUAACAGCACUGUUCUGGCGAUUUCUACGAGUAUGGCUGCUGAGACAGAAGAGCACUACUGGGUUAGUCGAAGCUUACUUAACUCGACAAUUAGAGAGCCAUGGCAAACAGAUCCGGUUGUAACAACUCUGUACGACCAACACGUCAACGCUGGACAAAGCGUUAAACUGAAAUGUCGGUAUGAAGCCAACACUAACGUUCACAUCCAGUGGCAGAAGAAUAACGAACACCCAAUACCUGGAACAUUCCAGAGGUCUGGGAAAACGUGGAUGGCCAUCAAGAGUGUAGCAGCCAUACACCAUGGUAACAGGUACACCGUAAUCAUCACAGACGAAAAGCAAAAGAAAGCCUUCACAUCAGCACGCAAUUUUUGACUGAGAUUCACCCUUCACUGAAACACUAUUUCAACCAGGCGCCAUCCAAUCCAUGGACUAUUUGAAGGGACGGGAGUUUCUUCAUACUCAGAAAGCUGUGCAUGUCUUGGGAACACAUCAGAGCAACGCUCCGGUUAAACAAGCUGUUUCCAAGUUAUUCUGCUUCUUCUAGCACAUCCAGUAGUCCUACUGGGAACUUUCGAAAGUUAAACUUUGAGACGGACUUUAUCGCUCUGUAAGAACCGGGUAAACAUUCAUAAUUCUCAAAAAAGUUCAUGUUAUAAAAUGUCAAUGACUAAGCAAAUGUGGGGGGGGGGUCCUGACGCAAAGAUGAAUGUUCUGACGAAAGAAGAUACAUGUACAUAUCAACGCGCAAGUUCAACUUAACCAACAGAAGCCCUUCUGAAUGACAAUACGGAAAUCGAAAAUAUUUUCACUUUUAAGCAACUACACUCUACUUGUUUUAUGCCACGUUCACUUACUGGCCAUGAAUUUUUUAGUCAACCCUUGUGUGCCUGUCAUGUGUUUAUGGAUUACAAAAUAAAGUUCACUUGAUACAAGCAUUGCAGAAUAGGAAAUAAGGUGUGUUUUUUGUCUGUACGGAGUAAAUUCUCAGGCAACUUGUAAACUGUCUUGUCUAUUGUACUAAACAUAGCAAUUCAAUACCUCGCGGUUUUGGUAAUACAUGUAUACUUUUUUGUUUACUCCUCUUUGAGGGGAAGACAAAAUUUCAUUGGAAAUAUUGAAAAACCUUCAGUGCUACAUUGCAUAUCACAGUCACACUGUAAGACCUUCUUGCCUAAAAAAUCCUGAAAACUAAAUUUUAGAAUUGCUUCGUCUGACAUUUCCUUCAGAACGAACAUUUAAAUAUUUUACAUGUAAAUGCUUUAAGAACAAAUCUUGAAGCCGCUGACCCUUGCAAUCCUGAAUCCUUGCAAACAUCUUCCAUUCAAACUCAUACUCAUCAAACUUAAGAUAAGGCUGCAAUAUUUCAAUCAUGUAUUAUCUUCACAUGUACAGGCCAGACCUCGUCAUGCGUCAAAGCUGUCCGAAAGGUGUCAUACAGAUGCCUCGGCUACAAUUGAAAUCUUGAACCCUUGCUGGAAAUACGCGCACUCUAAAAUCAAAUCGGUCAAUUCAUUAAGAGAUACUGAAUAACCUAUAUUAUUCAGGCAUGAAUAUUACAAUUGUUCGUGAGAGUUACUGCAACGGUCUACCCUGGAAGUUGACAUAUGAGAAGCAGCUUAACUUGCGGGCACCAACGAUUAUGGCAGUUGUUCGACUGACUGGAAGUGGCAGAGGAUUCUUCCAUUAUUCUCAGGGAAGCUUCAUAUUUUCUAUGUUGUUGUAGGACUGUGUAAAUGUCAAUCAAAACUCAGAUCAAUGUGUAAGGCGAAUUCACAUGUUCAAAUUCUAAAAUGAUUCAAAAUAUGAAAGCUUUGCUUAACUGCCCACUUUAGAACAGGUUUUGUUUGAGGAGGAACUACAUCCAAUCUGCAACGUUACAAUUAAAUUGAGUAACAAGGUCAGCAUAUAAUUUGGCGCUAAGAACAAACCCUCUAGCACAAUGUCCUGAGAGCAAACGAGUUCAGAUCGAAACUAUUGCCCUCUGAAUGAAAUCACUCGCCUUCGGUGUUACUUUCACGGAGUAAAAUGCCUCCGACUGGUUUCGAAUACUUGUAUACAUGUGAGGUAGUGAAUGUGUUACAUGGUUACGUUUCAGAGAAAUCCCCUCCGACAAGGAAAAGGAAUCAGAGAGGACAGAGAGUUAAAAAGAGAAGACGCGGGAAACGGAAAACAAAACAGACAGGCAUGCAGGAUCAGUUUCGAAUGGGCACAACUCACCAUGUCCAUAAGCUGUUCUACUGUCCAAUGGCGACAGACCAGCAGCUCAUCCACGCGUUUAAGUAAAACGUAU
rnacentral:lncRNA from 1 species